GAGGGCAGAGCUCAGUGGUAGCGUGCCUGCUUAGCAUACAUGAGGUCCUGGGUUCAAUCCCCAGUACCUCCA
rfam:Camelus ferus unplaced genomic scaffold scaffold765, whole genome shotgun sequence.